CUGGCCAUAGAGAUAGAUUCAUUCUCUUGGCCUCAGCUUGGGCAUUCCUUAAAGAUAUGACUUGGAGAGGCAGAUUUCUGUGGCAUGGAUUUUCCAUGCUGCUGGAGGUGUGAAAAGUGCAGGUACCAUUUGUGCACUUCUAUGGGGAAACUCCACCUCAGCAACCUGGACAAGUGCUCCAGCUCCAUCUGAGGAAAAAGCAGCCACAUCAGUCUAAUUUACAGCCUGGUCUACAUUUGUCUACGUUCCUCCACAUUCAAAUAUGUUGUCUUUUAAAAAAAUCCACUUUUUCCCCACUCAUUCUUUCCUUUUCCUUCAAGUAAAACACCUUCCAAAUGGAACAUGAAAAUAAAAGCUCUUCAUGCCAAUUCA